UACGAAGGGUGCAAGCGUUGCUCGGAAUCAUUGGGCGUAAAGCGCACGUAGGCGGGCGCGUAAGUCGAUUGUGAAAGCCCUGGGCUCAACCCGGGAAUUGCAGUCGAUACUGCGUGUCUUGAGUGCUUGAGAGGAUGGCGGAAUUCCUGGUGUAGUAGUGAAAUACGUAGAUAUCAGGAGGAACACCGGAGGCGAAGGCGGCUAUCUGGCGAGACACUGACGCUGAGGUGCGAAAGCGUGGGGAGCAAACAGG
rnacentral:rRNA from 1 species